rnacentral:rRNA from 1 species
AGAGUUUGAUCCUGGCUCAGAACGAACGCUGGCGGCGUGGAUAAGACAUGCAAGUCGAACGGGACACCAUGAGUAGCAAUACAAGUGGUGUCUAGUGGCGAACGGGUGCGUAACACGUGGAUACAUUCCGGGAAGCGGGGGAUAGCCCAGGGAAACUUGGAUUAAUACCGCAUGUGGUCGAAAGACUAAAGGCAGGGACCGCAAGGCCUGCCACUUCCCGAUUGGUCCGCGGCCUAUCAGCUAGUUGGCGGGGUAAAAGCCCACCAAGGCUACGACGGGUAGCUGGUCUUAGAGGACGACCAGCCACACUGGAACUGAGACACGGUCCAGACACCUACGGGUGGCAGCAGUCGAGAAUCUUUCACAAUGGGGGCAACCCUGAUGGAGCGACGCCGCGUGGAGGAUAAGGUCUUCGGAUUGUAAACUCCUGUCAUGUGUGAACAAGGUUGUCGUGUUAAUAGCAUGGCAAAUUGAUGGUAACACAAGAGGAAGAGACGGCUAACUCUGUGCCAGCAGCCGCGGUAAUACAGAGGUCUCAAGCGUUGUUCGGAAUCACUGGGCGUAAAGGGUGCGUAGGUGGCGUGGAAAGUCAGAUGUGAAAGCCCGGGGCUCAACCUCGGAAUUGCAUCCGAUACUACCAUGCUAGAGUACUGAAGAGGUGACUAGAAUUCUCGGUGUAGCAGUGAAAUGCGUAGAUAUCGAGAGGAAUACCAACGGCGAAGGCAGGUCACUGGGGCAGUUACUGACACUGAGGCACGAAGGCCAGGGGAGCAAACGGGAUUAGAUACCCCCGGUAGUCC